UGCCCUGAGAGUCAGGGGCAAGGGGUGGAGAGAGCAGUCACCUCUCUAGCUGAAGAUUACCAAGCCCACUUCUCCAGCCCAAGGCUGCAGAGGACAGGCACAGUUAGGCAAGGUCUCCCCAAAUCACGAUCAUUCAUUUCCUUUUUCUGCUUAAAAUCGGAUGUGGCCGUGCCAGGGAGCAGCAGGCCAGGUCAGUGGGAGAUGAUGCCGGUUUCCAGGCAACUACAUGGAAUUUGGUGAGAAAUGAAGAAACUGAGCCGCCAAGAUCUGUUGGUUCGAUGGAAAACUACGGUUAUCCAAACGCUGCGCCUGAGCAGAGGCUGGAGAGGGCGGAACGAGGCUGUGGGAAUGGAAGCAUCUGUGGGUGUUUCCUCUCUCUUGAAAGAGCAGCCAGUUGCGCACAUCGGAAAGAAAUGUGUGUCUCUUCCCUGAUCAGCCUUUGCAGAAGAGGUGGCCAUGAGGCUUAGCAAGAUAGGGUGGGCUCUGUGGCUCACUGUGGCUGUACAGUGGGUGUCUGU
ensembl:antisense Gm12199 predicted gene 12199